GAAUUAUAUGUCUUAAAAGACAUAAAUAAAAUUUGAAAAAAAGGAGUAUCUUUAUGACUCGUAUAGCAGGUGUUAACGUUCCUGAU
rfam:Candidatus Tachikawaea gelatinosa DNA, complete genome.